rnacentral:rRNA from 1 species
UACGGGAGGCAGCAGUGGGGAAUAUUGCACAAUGGGCGAAAGCCUGAUGCAGCUAUGCCGCGUGUAUGAAGAAGGCCUUAGGGUUGUAAAGUACUUUCAUCGGGGAGGAAAAAACAAAACUAAUAAUUUUAUUUCUUGACGUUACCCGAAAAAGAAGCACCGGCUAACUCCGUGCCAGCAGCCGCGGUAAUACGGAGGGUGCUAGCGUUAAUCAGAAUUACUGGGCGUAAAGAGCACGUAGGUGGUUUUUUUAAAGUCAGAUGUGAAAUCCCUGGGCUUAACCUGGAAACUGCAUUUUGAAACUGAAAUACUAGAGUAUCGUAGAGGGAGGUAGAAUUCUAGGUGUAGCGGUGAAAUGCGUAGAUAUCUGGAGGAAUACCUGUGGCGAAAGCGGCCUCCUAAACGAAUACUGACACUGAGGUGCGAAAGCGUGGGGAGCAAACAGGGAUUAGAUACCCGU